GUGCUUGGUUCAGCAGCACAUAUACUAAAAUGGGAACAACACAGAGAAGAUUUGCAUGGUCCCUGCCACAUUUGUGAAGCAUUCCACAUAAAAAAUAAAAUAAUCAUU